GACGAACGCUGGCGGCGUGCUCAACACAUGCAAGUCGAACGGAAAGGCCCUGCUUUUGUGGGGUGCUCGAGUGGCGAACGGGUGAGUAACACGUGAGUAACCUGCCCUUGACUUUGGGAUAACUUCAGGAAACUGGGGCUAAUACCGGAUAGGAGCUCCUGCUGCAUGGUCGGGGUUGGAAAGUUUCGGCGGUUGGGGAUGGACUCGCGGCUUAGCAGCUUGUUGGUGGGGUAGUGGCUUACCAAGGCUUUGACGGGUAGCCGGCCUGAGAGGGUGACCGGCCACAAUGGGACUGAGAUACGGCCCAGACUCCGACGGGAAGCAGCAGUGGGGAAUAUUGCACAAUGGGCGGAAGCCUGAUGCAGCAACGCCGCGUGCGGGAUGACGGCCUUCGGGUUGUAAACCGCUUUCGCCUGUGACGAAGCGUGAGUGACGGUAAUGGGUAAAGAAGCACCGGCUAACUACGUG
rnacentral:rRNA from 1 species